GUGUCACAACGGCUUCCUGACGUGACACACAAUCAUCCAUUUGGAGCA
rnacentral:ncRNA from 1 species